rnacentral:rRNA from 13 species
CAGUGACAAUGGGUUAAUCCCAAAAAACUGUCUCAGUUCGGAUUGGGGUCUGCAACUCGACCCCAUGAAGUCGGAAUCGCUAGUAAUCGCGGAACAGCAUGCCGCGGUGAAUACGUUCCCGGGCCUUGUACACACCGCCCGUCACACCAUGGGAGUUGGAUCUACCCGAAGAUUGUGAGCUAACUUCGGAGGCAGCAAGCCACGGUAGGUUCAGCGACUGGGGUGAAGUCGUAACAAGGUAGCCGUAGGGGAACCUGCGGCUGGAUCACCUCCUU